rnacentral:lncRNA from 1 species
AUGGCACUAAGGUUGGGGGACUUUAGGUUUUUCUCUCCCACCCUCCGGAAUACUGCACUGAUGCUGCAUCAUACUGCCAGGGUGGGGGGUGGGGGGGAGGAGCCCAAGCCACACCGGUCCCCAUCACUACUCAGUCCAGGGGAGAAACAAGGUGCUGCCCCACCCCCCCCAACUUCCCAGGCCAGAGAAGCCUCCCUGCCCUGCCCUACAGAAAGGGGUGCACAAGGAGGGGUGCUCUGGGUAGCUAUUGUCCUAGCCUCUCAGGGCAACCUGGACUUCCCUCCCAAACAAAAAGCAGACCCUUCCUUAGCCCUGGGGGCCUCCCCCACCCCAGGACAAGCGCCACGGAGGGGAGUGGGGGGGGCGACGAGGGCACGCCACACCCCGGGACCGAGAAACACCCACUGCUUCCGGGACUUGGGGGAGGGGCGGAGAAGAGAACGCGGGCCCGGCGGCGAAGGGUCAGAAGGCGCGAGGGUCAAGGGUCAGGGGGCGGAGGCACCGGACCCCAGGCCCCUCCCCUCCCCCUCACUCACCCCGCCCGGGGGGCUGCGCCGGGGCCCCGGGGCCUCUCAGGGCCGCGUCCUCCGGCGGCGGCGACGGCGGCGGCUGCUGCUGCUGCUACUCCUCCGGGAACCCAUGUCCGUCCGUCCGUCUGCCCUCGCCUCGCCUCCCGGAGCAGGGGGUCGAGCCGCCCCCUCCCCCCCGCCGCCGCCUCAGCGGGCGGCCAUGGCCCCUUCCUUCCCCUCCCUCCUGGCCUCGCUGCCUCGUCACCGCCUCCUGCUCACCUCACCCCGCCCCUCCCCCUCCAACCUCCCCCCCCGCCCCAGGACGAUCCAGCCCGCCUCUCCCGGGCGGGGGGCGCGGCGCGAGGAGACCAGAGCGCGCGCGCGAAGUAAGCCGGGCGCGCGCGCCACCCCGCCCCGCGCUCGGCCUCCCCGCAGCGGCCUCGACCCUCGGGCCCCUCCCCUUCUCCUGCUGUCCCCUCCCUCACUUCCUGUCCGCUUGCUUUGCCUUCCGCGCGCGCAGCGGCUGCUCGAGCUAGCGGGGGUCCCGGCGCGUGCAUCUGCCCCGCGGGCCGCCGCUCAGCAACAUUGGCUAUUGGGGGCGGGGAUGGGGCGGGAGAGGCGGAGGGAGCCGAGCGGAGAGGAGGGGCUCCACGCAAGGGCCGAACGUCCCGACGGCAGCACCUCCCCAGAGAGCGUGGACAUGGGGCGGGACCUCGAUUGUCCUCUCUUCGCCAAUGGGAAGCACGCAUCCCUGCCGCCUGGCCAAUAG